GCCAAUGAGAGGAGUGGAUACACAUCACAUGAUCAUGAUGGAACCAAUGAGCGGAGUGUAGGCACAUCACAUGACCACGAGGGAACCAAUCAGCAAGGCUCCUUUGGCGUGGACCUGAACCAGCUGCCUGUAGAACAAGAAGCAGGUCCUCAGAGCAGUAUGGUCUCCUCUCUUCAGGCGGUCGACAUCGAGAGUUACGCUGGCAGCACUCCCUCAAGAUCUCCACUUGACAGUGAAGCAAACCACCGGACCAGUCUGGGCCAGAUGUUCCAGAGCCCAGUGCUGGGGGAGAGUGCCAGUAUGUGUGUGCAACAACAACAGAUGGAAGGUGGAGAAGAAGAGGAGGAGGAGAGAUCAAACAAUCCG